GUGAAUCAUCAAAUUUUUGAACGCAAAUUGCACUCUCCUCGGAGAGUAUGCCUGUUUGAGGGUCAGCCUAUAAAAAAUCGACAUCGUUGCUGCUUCGCGGUGGCGUUCGUCGGAAAUUGGGUCAUCUUAAAUCCUUUUGAUUUAAGCGACUUAAAAAUUUUUUUUACGAUUCUAAGAAUGUUUCUAAGAUUUAUUUCUUUACACGUUUAAGGUAUCGAUUUUUAUUAGACGUGGCCGUCAUAUCGGAUCGCGUCCAUAAUUUUUCGCUAACUGACCUCAGACAGGUAAGAGUACCCGCUGA
rnacentral:misc_RNA from 1 species